GGCUGGAUGGCCGAGCGGUCUAAGGCGGUAGACUCAAGAAAUCUGCUUUCUUUCCCACAGAAAUGUGGGGUGGUGUUCUACUCUCGAAAGAGGCGCGCGUUCGAAUCGCGCUCCAGUCA